rnacentral:misc_RNA from 1 species
ACAGUAUUCAAAGAACGCGAUGCCCCAGCUCACCAUGAUGACCAGCGGCAGCGAGUGUUCCUUGUAUUUCAGAUGCCCGUACCAGGCGAAGGUCAUGAAGACAUUGGACAUGAGAAGCAGGAUGAACGGCUGCAGUGCAGGAGAAAUGGUGAUCGGCAUGGGCUUCCUUUCGGGGCGGCAAUUUACCGGGUUCUCGCCCGUGACAUUGAAGGCAACAAGACCGGAAUGUGGCCCCGCAAAGGGGAAGCGCCCA